AUAUCAAUAAGCGGAGGAAAAGAAACUAACAAGGAUUCCCCUAGUAACUGCGAGUGAAGCGGGAAAAGCUCAAAUUUGUAAUCUGGCGGUCUUGGGCCGUCCGAAUUGUAAACUAGAGAAGUGUUAUCCGCGCUGGACCGUGUACAAGUCCCCUGGAAUGGGGCGUCAUAGAGGGUGAGAAUCCCGUCUUUGACACGGACUACCAGGGCUUUGUGAUGCGCUCUCAAAGAGUCGAGUUGUUUGGGAAUGCAGCUCAAAAUGGGUGGUAAAUUCCAUCUAAAGCUAAAUAUUGGCGAGAGACCGAUAGCGAACAAGUACCGUGAGGGAAAGAUGAAAAGAACUUUGGAAAGAGAGUUAAACAGUACGUGAAAUUGCUGAAAGGGAAACGCUUGAAGUCAGUCGCGUUGGCUAGGGAUCAGCCUUACUUUUGUGGGGUGUACUUCCUUGUCGACGGGUCAGCAUCAGUUUUGGUUGCUGGAUAAAGGCUGGGGGAAUGUGGCAUCUUCGGAUGUGUUAUAGCCCCUGGUUGGAUACAGUGGCUGGGACUGAGGAACUCAGCACGCGCAAGUUGUGCUUAGGAUGCUGGCAAAAUGGCUUUAAUCGACCCGUCUUGAAACACGGACCAAGGAGUCUAACAUGCCUGCGAGUGUUUGGGUGGAAAACCCGAGCGCGUAAUGAAAGUGAAAGUUGAGAUCCCUGUCGCGGGGAGCAUCGACGCCCGGAGCAGAACUUUUGGGACGCAUCCGCGGUAGAGCAUGUAUGUUGGGACCCGAAAGAUGGUGAACUAUGCCUGAAUAGGGCGAAGCCAGAGGAAACUCUGGUGGAGGCUCGUAGCGAUUCUGACGUGCAAAUCGAUCGUCGAAUUUGGGUAUAGGG
rnacentral:rRNA from 1 species